CAGGAGUUCACAAUGAUUCACGACAAUACCGGUACUUCAGCAUCCCCAAACAAGACGACAACAAUGUGUCCUUCACUUCGGUACCAAAGAUUCUUCGAGCAUAAUGGAACUUCUGCGGUUCAUGCAAGGUCCGCCGAUCUCUUACCAUUGCUGCCGCGGGAAAGGAGAGCGCGAGAACUGGCAACGGCCACUGAAAAAUUAAAGAGCACCGACUGUACUGCCGGUGGCGCUGCUCAUGUUUGUUCAGACUGGUUUCUGGUGAGAUCAUGAGAACACAAGAUGGCAUGUAUGUGUAAGGACACACAUCGUAAAUAUCGUAGCUGCAAACAAACAUAUGCUUAAUCUGAACCUUUUGAGGCUUUUCACUAGCAUAUUUCAUAUAAUAAUUAAAAUCGUUUCAAUAUGUUCCUUCUCUAUCCCAUCGGAUUUCAAAAUUGAAGAUUUCAGUGUUCAAAUAUCAUGUCUCUUUAUGUAUCAGCUAUUCGUAUGAUUGCAUCACAUGGCACAGUAGUAAACUCUGACUCGAUUUUGUUUCAGCUAUUUGCAGUUUCUAUUUCUUGGUUAGGCUGCUUGGGUCCUGGAUGGAAGGCCCAGAGGUGUAAAGGCGAAAAAUUCGAUGGAAAACACAAAGAACGAGGAUGAGCUUCAGAAUUUAUGCAGCUUCUUAUGUUAAUUACACCGAGUAUAAUAUAAGAAAUGUGUUAUCAUAUUGGCAGCUAUUUUUACCAUCGUUAUAAAACAAAUAUUGGCAUGA